GAUGAAUUAUAUCUUGCAUCAACCACCCUAAUGAAAUUGCCCACCGCCGAAACCUUCACCACCCUGCUUGAGCCCUCUCUUCCCUCUUUUCGGCGUUCUCACACUUCAUAUCCCCGACUCCAACCAGUAAUCCUAGUCUUGACUCGCCCCAUGGGCUCUUCGUUGCCCACAAGCGUCCCAUCAUGACCACCUCCGUCGUUGGCCCUGCCGAGCCCCGCCGCAUCUUAGUCUCCAUUCGUCCCUUCAUCGUCACGUGAUCUCCCCUCUCUCUUCCGCUCAAUUCUCAUCAUUGUCGAGUCUACCGUCGGUCGACGGAAAUUUCUAGAACCUUAUGAAGCCCUACACGUAUAAAGAAAGCCUAUCCACUGGGAGCAUACUGUCCACUUAUAACAUUGAGCAAAACUAGUAAUAUCUGUGAUCCCAUACAUGUGGAAGUGCUAUGGGCAGAUAUUGAAUCUAGUGGUGAAAUGUUUUGUCCUGCAGGAUCCUUUUGCCCAAGUACUAUACGGAGAGUUUCUUGUAACAUUGGGCCACCACUCCAGAAUUUAGAGCAUAUCAAGAGCAAGUGUUGAAGAAUUGUGCUACAUUCGUUAAGGGAAUUGAUGGAUCUAGAGUCAAGAAGGUGCUAAAGUCGGUACAUAUUGCAGCUAACAAUAGUUCCUCUUGGUGCAAUUCCAACAUAGAAGAAGUGCGCUAUUCAUGUAUUCAUUGGGCAUAAUAUCAAAAGCUAUUAGGAUAAAUAGAGACGACGUAGACUUUUCUUGGCAUGUGAUGGAUCAAAGCAGAGGGAGGGUAGAAAAUCAUGUGCACCAGCAAACCUUUUUAGUUAACUGUGAAAUUAGGUUCCUUUUUAGUUAUUUCUAAUGGUGCAUUGCCUUUGGAUG